AAUAGAUACCCGGGUAGUCCACGCCGUAAACGAUGAGUGCUAGGUGUUGGGGGGUUCCACCCUCAGUGCUGAAGUUAACACAUUAAGCACUCCGCCUGGGGAGUACGACCGCAAGGUUGAAACUCAAAGGAAUUAGACGGGGCCCGCGACAAGCAGUGGAGCAUGUGGUUUAAUUCGUAAGCAACGCGAAGAACCUUACCAGGUCUUGACAUCCUUUGACCACUCUAGAGAUAGAGCCUUUUCCCCUUCGGGGGGACAAAGUGACAGGUGGUGCAUGGUUGUCGUCAGCUCGUGUCGUGAGAUGUUGGGUUAAGUCCCGCAACGAGCGCAACCCUUGACCUUAGUUGCCAGCAUUCAGUUGGGCACUCUAAGGUGACUGCCGGUGACAAACCGGAGGAAGGUGGGGAUGACGUCAAAUCAUCAUGCCCCUUAUGACCUGGGCUACACACGUGCUACAAUGGAUGAUACAAAGGGUUGCGAAAGCCGCGAGGCCAAGCCAAUCCCAAAAAGUCAAUUCUCAAGUUCGGAUUGUAGGCUGC
rnacentral:rRNA from 1 species